UUCUGUGACAUCUGCAGUGGACCCAAAGCAUUUGCCUCCUUCCUCCCUCCCUCACUGCUGAAUGUGUAUCCCUAAAAAAAAAGCAUGCUAGACUGAUGAGGAUGAUGUCCCUGAUUGAGACAUCCCAUGCACUAAUCAAGGGUGUAAGGUAGCUGUGCUCCACUGCUAGAAUCUCCAAACAACUUCAAGCUUCUUUUGUAGAAAAAUGUAGGGUAGAAGAGUGGUAAUACACUGCAACAUCCUGCCUGGGGUCGUGAGGGAGUCAUUGUCCCUGAAGGC
rfam:Callipepla squamata strain Texas jcf7180005234005, whole genome shotgun sequence.